rnacentral:rRNA from 1 species
GAUGACGCUGGCGGCGUGCCUAAUACAUGCAAGUCGAGCGAGCGGCGGACGGGUGAGUAAUGUCUGGGAAACUGCCCGAUGGAGGGGGAUAACUACUGGAAACGGUAGCUAAUACCGCAUACCAUCGGAUGUGCCCAGAUGGGAUUAGCUUGUAGGUGAGGUAACGGCUCACCUAGGCGACGAUCACUAGCUGGAAUGGGAGGAUGAGCAGCCACAAUGGAACUGAGACACGGUCCAGACUCCUACGGGAGGCAGCAGUGGGGAAUAUUGCACAAUGGGCGCAAGCCUGAUGCAGCCAUGCCGCGUGUAUGAAGAAGGCCUUCGGGUUGUAAAGUACUUUCAGCGGGGAGGCGUUACCCGCAGAAGAAGCACCGGCUAACUCCGUGCCAGCAGCCGCGGUAAUUC